rnacentral:rRNA from 1 species
GCUUGUCUCAAGAUUAAGCCAUGCAUGUCUAAGUAUAAACACCUUUAUACUGUGAAACUGCGUACAGCUCAUUAAAUCAGUAAUAAUUUAUUUGAUGGUGACUUACUACAUGGAUAACCGUAGUAACCUAGAGCUAAUACAUGCACAAAAUCCCGACUUCACGGAAGGGAUGUAUUUAUUAGAUAAAAAACCAAUGCCCCUCGGGGCUCCUUGGUGAAUCAUAAUAACUUAACGAAUCGCAUGGCCUUGCGCCGGCGAUGGUUCAUUCAAAUUUCUGCCCUAUCAACUUUCGAUGGUAGGAUAGUGGCCUACCAUGGUGGCAACGGGUAACGGGGAAUUAGGGUUCGAUUCCGGAGAGGGAGCCUGAGAAACGGCUACCACAUCCAAGGAAGGCAGCAGG